rnacentral:rRNA from 1 species
UACAGAGACCUCAAGCGUUAUCCGGAAUCAUUGGGCGUAAAGCGUACCGAUAGGUGGUCUUGCAAGUCAGAGGUGAAAUCUCCGAGCUUAACUCGGAAUCUGUCCUUUGAAACUGCACGACUAGAGGGGCAAAGAGGAAGCUGGAACAAACGGUGUAGUAGUGAAAUGCGUUGAUAUCGUUUGGAACACCAAUAGCGAAGGCGGGCUUCUGGGUGCCACCUGACACUGCUAGGACGAAAGCGUGGGGAGCGAAUGGG